AGGAGUUGCCUUUAUUGCUAGGAAAAGUGUUUUAGAUUUUUUUUUUAAUAAUUUUUUUUGUUAAUUUUUUUCUCUCUCUCCUAUUUACUCAAGAGAAAAGCUUAAUGAUCUUUUCUGGAAAGGAAACAAGCUGUGACAGAACUUGCUCACUGAAGAAUGAGAUGACUUCAGGGAGUAGAUGCACGUGGCUACUCUUCCCGAUCCCAGAUACAGCUUGUAAUGCUCUGUGCGCCUGCAGGAAUACAUGAAAACCAGCAUCAAAAACAAAGAAGUAGCUUUAGCACGUUGACAGUAUCCAGCAUGAGUCGUUAGAAGUGCUUCUUUCAGCAUUCUUUUCAGGCUGCAUCACCAAAAGUUUGCAUUUGUAACUGCAUGAGAGUGGGAUGGAUAGGGUGCAUGAGAGUGGGAUGAGCCAUGCAUGUGAUACAGCUGUCUUGAAGAAAUUGUGUUACUGAUACCCUGCUGUGGUACCCUGGGCAGAUUCUCCUGCUGAACUAAAAACAUUGCAGGACUGCUGCUUUGCAUGUUACCAGGCUGUUAUUCAUAGUGUCCAUUGGAAACACCCAAGGCAAACACCAGAAACAAGAGUGAGGGUAAGAUUGAUGGCCUCACCUUGUACUGCUGUGAGCUUCCUGGCCAUGAAGAGAAUAAGAAUGUACCUGAAAAUAUUAUGGAAAAAUAAGAAAUGUAAUCUGCAUUACCAAUUGGCUCCAUGUUUAUUUAGAUAUAUUAAGCCUGAAUCAAAUGUACAUUUAUGCUGCUUUUUCUUAGGUUUGCCGUUUUU